UUUUGGGUGGCUCAGAGGUUAAAGCGUCUGUCUCCAAUGCAGGAGACCCGGGUUCGAUCCCUGGGUCAGGAA
rnacentral:tRNA from 1 species